rnacentral:rRNA from 1 species
UGGCUCAGGAUGAACGCUGGCGGCGUGCUUAACACAUGCAAGUCGAACGGAGCUUUUAAUGAACAAGACUUCGGUCAAGUAAAUUUCAAGCUUAGUGGCGGACGGGUGAGUAACGCGUGAGCAACCUGCCUUUCAGAGGGGGAUAACGUUUGGAAACAGACGCUAAUACCGCAUAACAUGGCGACAUCGCAUGGUGAUGCCAUCAAAGGAGCAAUCCGCUGAGAGAUGGGCUCGCGUCCGAUUAGGUAGUUGGUGAGGUAACGGCUCACCAAGCCGACGAUCGGUAGCCGGACUGAGAGGUUGAACGGCCACAUUGGGACUGAGACACGGCCCAGACUCCUACGGGAGGCAGCAGUGGGGAAUAUUGCACAAUGGGCGAAAGCCUGAUGCAGCAACGCCGCGUGAGGGAAGACGGUUUUCGGAUUGUAAACCUCUGUCUUUGGUGAAGAAGAAGUGACAUUAGCCGAGGAGGAAGCCACGGCUAACUACGUGCC